AAUAUAAGAGAAUUAUGAUUUUCAACAUUUUCAUAUAAAUAUAGGUUUUUAUUUAAAAAAAUCUACUUCUAAAACAGAUUUUUAUAAUUUUUGUUUUUUUGUUUUUUAAAGAAGGGGUACAACUAGGUACCCAGAUUUCUGGCUUACUAAAACUCGAAUUAAGCCGAGUUUCGGCCCAGGGUUAUAACCAGGUAUACCCGAGCCGGGUUCUGACCCAGAUUUGAAACCCGGGUUCUGGGCCGGGUAUACCCAGAUACCCAGUCCAGUACCCGGUUGAACACCCCUACCGAGCAUAUCAUUUAGAUCUAGGAAUAAAAAGUUAAGGUUAUUUUACUUUGGUUAGAUUUUAAUUUGCCGUAUUUGCAAUAUUUGUUCAACUUCAAUUUAGGCUCUAUCUGAUGUAUUUACAUCUCAUUUGGACCUAGUUUUGUAACAAGAAUGUUCCAACAUUUUUUUUUCACAUUAGCAAAACUUAUUGCAUAUCACUUUUGUUUGGAUUUUUUUAAAACUACAUGUCUAGAAAUUAGGAUUCGGGUGCUGCAAGUGUGAGGACUAUGCCAAAAUGAGGGAAUGAAUCCCCUCACGUGGGCAAAAUGUUGGCGACAAGGAGGUAGCCGAGCGGCAAUGUGCAUAUGAAGUGGCAGCAAGGAGAGUAGCAUGUUGUAAAGAGCCUGGCAACUGUGGGACAACAUAGGGUAACGAAAGAAGACAAGCACCGGGCAGGGACAAGCUUGGUGCAAAGCUGGGAGCACUCCAGGACAAUUUAGACAAGCUCAAAGGGUAGCAGGUUGGUGCUAUCAUAUUGCUAGUGAAUAUAUGAUCAUGUUCUCUUGGGUCGCUAUCAACAUUGUAAUUUAUGGAUGCCGAAGUUGUAAAUUUGAAACAUAAUGAGAAAGCCAUUUGAGGAA